rnacentral:misc_RNA from 1 species
AACGCACAUUGCGGCCAUAGGUAUUCCUUUGGCCAUGCCUGUUCGAGCGUCAUUUACACCCUCAAGCCUAGCUUGGUGUUGGGCGUCUGUCCCGCCGCUCUCGCGCGCGGACUCGCCUCAAAGUCAUUGGCGGCGGUCGUGCCGGCCCCUCGCGCAGCACAUUUGCGCUUCUCGGAGGCCCGGCGGACCCGCGCUCCAGCAAAGACCUUUCACGACUUGACCUCGGAUCAGGUAGGGAUACCCGCUGAACUUAA